GACAGAAGAGUGUGUCAAGUUAGCCAAGUAGUGACCGCCUCAUAAACCAACCAAGGUGUUAUUUUCGUUCACCUUGAGUUGGGACGAGGCAAGUCAUCAUUGGCUACCCAACAAGAGCGCUCGCUCUUCUGU
rfam:Helianthus annuus linkage group 1, whole genome shotgun sequence.